GAUGAACGCUGGCGGCGUGCCUAAUACAUGCAAGUCGAGCGAACAGACGAGGAGCUUGCUCCUCUGACGUUAGCGGCGGACGGGCUAGUAACACGUGGAGAACCUACCUAUAAGACUGGGAUAACUUCGGGAAACCGGAGCCAAUACCGUAUAAUAUAUUGAACCGCAUGGUUCCAUAGUGAGAGACGGGUUUGCUGUCACUUAUAGAUGGAUCCGCGCCGCAGUAGCUAGUUGGUAAGGUAACGGCUUACCAAGGCAACGAGGCGUAGCCGACCUGAGAGGGUGGUCGGCCACACUGGAACUGAGCCACGGUCCAGAGUCCUACGGGAGGCACCAGUAGGGAACCGUACGCAAUGGGCGAAAGCAUGACGGAGCAACGCCGCGUGAGUGAUGAAGGUCUUCGGAUCGUAAAACUGUGUUAUUAGGGAAGAACAAAUGUGUAAGUAACUCUGCACGUCUUGACGGUACCUAAUCAGAAAGCCACGGCUAACUCCGUG
rnacentral:rRNA from 1 species